GCCUGGUUGGUGCUUGGAUGGUAGACUGCCUGGGAAUACCAGGU
rnacentral:rRNA from 1 species